rnacentral:lncRNA from 1 species
AUUUCUCCAAGUGGUUGCAGAUGACAUGAUUUCCCAAAGUGUUAGAGCUGAAGUGUGUUUCCUUGUGUAUAUAUACUGUGGUUCCUUUAUCCCUUCAUCUGUGGAUAGACAGGUGCAACCGUGUGGUUCCCCACGAUAUGAUUUCAUUGUGGUUUUCUGUCUGAAGAGUAUCCCAGUAUGUACCUGUGGAGCAGCUUCUUUAUCCCUUCAUCUGUGGAUAAGCAGGUCAUGUCCUCCAGGUUUCUGCACGUUGCUGCAGAUGACAUGAUUUCAUGAAUUUCUGCGGCCGAAGAGGAUUCCACUGCGUGCUGCAGUUUCUUUAUCCCUUUAUCUGUGCAUGAACAGGACCUGCUGAAGCUCACACCCGUGGACCACCCAGACUGCCUGCCGCUACAGGAUGCCCUCCGCAUCUCCCAGGACUUCUUUCCGGCAUCAGUGUGGACAUUGACCCCACUGGACUGCAGUCACAGUGGACUCCCAAGGGGCAGGAUCCACCUCUGAUGUUCAGUGAAGACUACCAGAAAAGUCUGCUAGAGCAGUACCAUCUGGGUCUGGAUCAAAAACUCAGAAAAUACGUGGUUGGAGAGCUCAUCUGGAAUUUUGCCGAUUUCAUGACUAACCAGUGUCAGCCCAAGACUACCCCGUCGGUCAUUCUGUUCCUGCCGUCCUGUGAGGAGCCCCAAGCCAACAAGGCCACACUGGUGUGUCUCAUGAAUAACUUUAUCCGGGAAUCUUGAUGGUGACCUGGAAGGCAGAUGGUACCCUCAUCACCCAGAGCGUGGAGAAGACCACGCCCUCCAAACAGAGCAACAACAAGUACGUGGCCAGCAGCUACCUGAGCCUGACGCCCGAGCAGUGGAGGUCCCGCAGAAGCUACAGCUGCCAGGUUAUGCAAGAAGGGAGCACCGUGGAGAAGUCAGUGGCCCCUGCAGAAUGUUCAUAGGUUCCAGCCCCCACCCCACCCACAGGGGCCUGGAGCUGCAGGAUCCCAGGGGAGGGGUCUCUCUCUGCAUCCCAAGCCAUUCAGCCCUUCUCGCUGUACCCAGUAAACCCUCAAUAAAUAUCUUUGUCAGCCAG